rnacentral:rRNA from 1 species
AAUAUUUGACAAUGGGGGCAACCCUGAUCCAGCCAUGCCGCGUGUGUGAAGAAGGUCUUUGGAUUNUCAAGCACUUUAAGUUGGGANGUAGGGCUUUAGGUUAAUACCCUGAAGUUUUGACGUUACCAACAGAAUAAGCACCGGCUAACUCUGUGCAAGCAGCCGCGGUAAUACAGAGGGUGCAAGCGUUAAUCGGAAUUACUGGGCGUAAAGCGCGCGUAAGUGGGUCAGUAAGAUGGGUGUGAAAUCCCCGGGCUUAACCUGGGAACUGCUUUCAUAACUGCUGAGCUAGGAUACGGUAGAGGGUAGGGGAAUUUCCUGUGUAGCGGUGAAAUGCGUAGAUAUAGGAAGGAACACCAGUGGCGAAGGCGACUACCUGGACUGAUACUGACACUGAGGUGCGAAAGCGUGGGGAGCAAACA